rnacentral:rRNA from 1 species
CUGGUUGAUCCUGCCAGUAGUCAUAUGCUUGUCUAACAGGACUAAGCCAUGCAUGUCUAAGUAUAAGCAAUUAUACUUGUGAAACUGCGAAUGGCUCAUUAAAUCAGUUAUAGUUUAUUUGAUAUUUUCUUGCUACAUGGAUACCGGUGGCAAAGUACCGCUAAUACAUGCAAACAACCCCGCAAGGGGUGUAUUUAUUAGAUACGCAAACCAACCUGGCUUGCCAGAGUAUGCUGAAUCAUAAUAACUUCACGAAUCGCAUGGCCUUGUGCUGGCGAUGAAUCAUUCAAAUUUCUGCCCUAUCAACUUUUGAUGGUAGGAUAGAGGCCUACCAUGGUUAUGACGGGUAACGGAGAAUUAGGGUUCGAUUCCGGAGAGGGAGCCUGAGAAAUGGCUACCACAUCCAAGGAAGGCAGCAGGCGCGCAAAUUGCCCAAUCUCGAUACGAGGAGGCAGCGACAAGAAGUAACAGUGCGGGGCUUUUUCAAGUCUCGUAAUUGGAAUGAGUACAAUUUAAACACCUUAACAAGGAUCAAUUGGAGGAAAAGUCUGGUGCCA